rnacentral:rRNA from 1 species
CCAAGCUAUUAAGGGCGUGCGGUGGAUGCCUUGGCACCGAGAGGCGAUGAAGGACGUAGUUACCUGCGAUAAGCCACGGGUUGUUGGAAACAAGCCAUCCGUGGAUCUCCGAAUGGGGAAACCCUGUCCGGUAAACCCGGGCAAUGCCGAGCUGAAUGCAUAGGCCCGGCAGGCAAACCGAGGGAAUUGAAACAUCUCAGUACCUCGAGGAAAAGAAAGCAAUCAGCGACUCCGUCAGUAGCGGCGAGCGAACGCGGAACAGCCUAAACCGUAAGCAUGUCAUAGACUGCAUUCGUUGUGUUUACGGGGUCGUGGGAUGCCCUGUCAGGGUCGUGCAGGACCCUGGGGGGGUUACAAAUCUACCGGCUAGUCGAACUGCGCUGGAUAAGCGCGACCACAGAAGGUGAUAGUCCUGUAGGCGAAAGUUGGUAGACCCCCUAAGGGUAUUCCCAAGUAGCACGGGUCACGUGGAACCCCGUGUGAAUCUGGGAGGCCCAUCUCCUAAGGCUAAGUACUUCUCGGUGACCGAUAGCGCACGAGUACCGUGAGGGAAGUGGUGAAAAGCACCCCGCGAGGGGAGUGAAAUAGUACCUGAACCCGCAUGCCUACAAGCAGUGGAAGGACGAUGUCUUCGGACGCGUCUGACCGCGUGCCUUUUGCAUAAUGAGCCGACGAGUUACGCUGUGCGGCAAGACGAAGGGCUUCUGGUCCAUAGUCGUAGCGAAAGCGAGUCUGAAUAGGGCGUACAGUCGCACGGAGUAGACCCGAAACCGGGUGAUCUAUCCAUGGCCAGGGUGAAGUCUCUGUAAAGGGAGAUGGAGGCCCAAACCAGUGUCGGUUGAAAACGAUUUGGAUGAGCUGUGGAUAGGGGUGAAAGGCCAAUCAAACUCGGCAAUAGCUGGUUCUCCUCGAAAUAGUUUUAGGACUAGCGUCGCACGGUAGCCACCGGGGGUAGAGCACUGAAUGGGCUAGGGGUCUUACCAGACUACCGAACCCAAUCAAACUCCGAAUACCGGUGGUGGAACUGCGGCAGUCAGACUGCGGGGGAUAAGCUCCGUGGUCGAAAGGGAAACAGCCCAGACCGUCAGCUAAGGUCCCUAAACGGCACUCAGUGGGAAAGGAUGUGUAAUUGCUUAGACAACCAGGAUGUUGGCUUAGAAGCAGCCAUUCAUUUAAAGAGUGCGUAACAGCUCACUGGUCAAGUGAUUAUGCGCCGAAGAUGUAACGGGGCUAAGUGUCGUACCGAAGCUACGGGUUCCUGCAGCCUUCGCGCUGCGGGAGCGGUAGAGGAGCGUUCCAUACUGGGUUGAAGCGUGACCGAAAGGACGCGUGGACUGUAUGGAAGUGAUCAUGUCGGCAUCAGUAACGAAAAAACAGGCGAGAAACCUGUUCGCCGAAAACCCAAGGGUUCCCGGGUAAAGUUAAUCUCCCCGGGGUUAGUCGGAUCCUAAGCCGAGGCCGAAAGGCGUAGGCGAUGGAAAACAGGCACAAAGAUUCCUGUACCACCACGCAACCGUUUGAGCGAUGGGGUGACGCAGGAGGAUAAGGCACCCGUCUGACGGAUUAGGCGGGCUAAGCGUGCGGGAGGUAGCUCAGGCAAAUCCGGGCUACAUUACUCCGAGACGUGAAGGGACGUGGAUCCUUCGGGUGAAGCGGAUUGCUUGAUUCCAUACUGCCGAGAAAAACCUCUAGCAAGGUGGCCGGUGUCCGUACCGUAAACCGACACAGGUGGGUGAGAAGAGUAUUCUAAGGCGCUCGGGAGACCUCCCCUUAAGGAACUCGACCAAUUGACCCCGUAACUUCGGAAGAAGGGGUGCUCUGGCCGGUGAAGGACUUGCUCCGUAAGCUGGUUGGAGCCGCAGUGAAGUGGCUCAGGCGACUGUUUACUAAAAACACAGGUCUCUGCAAAGUCGCAAGACGACGUAUAGGGACUGACGCCUGCCCAAUGCCGGAAGGUUAACGGGAGGAGUCAAGGCGCAAGCCGGCAGCUCUGAACCGAAGCCCCGGUUAAUGGCGGCCGUAACUAUAACGGUCCUAAGGUAGCGAAAUUCCUUGUCGGGUAAGUU